CGCCCCCCUGGGGGGCGAUAUUCCUAGGAGAUUCGCCCCGGGGGGGGGGGCGAAUAUCCUAGGAAUAUCGCCCCCCUUUUGAGAGGGGGGACGAAUCUCCUGGGGGGCGAAUCUCCUGUGACACCGGACAGCCGACCAUCUAUUAGUUUUGAAAACUCUAAUAGAUUAUUAUAUACAAAUCAAAACGUAAACCAAUCUUUGCUUGUUUUAUUGACUUCAAAAAGCUUACGAUAGUGUAUGGAGGGAGGAUCUUUUCUUCAAAUUGAUGUUGAAUGGUUGCAGCAAGAGAUUCAUACGUUUAAUGUUAAGCAUGUAUUCCUCCCAGGGCCGUAGCAACUGGGGGGGGGGCUGCAGCCCCCCCCCCUCCCCCAAUAAUUUGCUAAUAAUCAUUCAGUUUUCAAAAUCAUGCAGACCUUUAUCAUUUAAUCCAUGACGAACUGCAAAGAAUGAAGAUAUUACCCAUACUUUCCUGCAACUUAUCCGAAAUAUAGUUAAUUAAAUACGCCUUCGCCCAUUUAGUACUACUGAAUUGUAAAUUUCUACAUACUAAAACGCUGUUUUCUGACCAUCAGAAAUCUGUCAAAUCUUCCCCAAAGUCCAGGAAAUGGCAUUUCAGAGACUCUAAAUUUAAAAAUUUCCUCGGGCCUUUGGCCCUCGCUUUCAGCACCCCCCAAUCGAAAAGAGCUUCC